GCUUUUGUACACACCGCCCGUCGCUACUACCGAUUGAAUGAUUUAGUGAGGUCUUCGGACUGGUACGCGGCAUCGACUCUGUCGUUGCCGAUGCUACCGGAAAGAUGACCAAACUUGAUCAUUUAGAGGAAGUAAAAGUCGUGACAAGGUUUCCGUAGGUGAACCUGCGGAAGGAUCAUUA
rnacentral:rRNA from 1 species